GAUGAACGCUGGCGGCGUGCCUAAUACAUGCAAGUCGAGCGAAGCGGGGACAGGUGAGUAACACGUGGAUAAACUCCUAUCAGAAUGGUAUAAAUUCGGGAAACAGGAGCUAAACCGGCUACUUAUAGAUGGAUCUGCGCGGCAUUAGAUAGUUGGUAAGGUAACGGCUGACCAAGGCAACGAUGCAUAGCCGACCUGAGAGGGUGAUCGGCCACACUGGAACGGAGACACGGUCCAGAUUCCUACGGGAGGCAGCAGUAGGGAAUCUUCCGCAAUGGGCGAAAGCCUGACGGAGCAACGCCGCGUGAGUGAUGAAGGUCUUCGGAUCGUAAAACUCUUUUAUUAGGGAAGCGGUACCUAAUCAGAAAGCCAAGGCUAACUACGUGCCAGCAGCCGCGGUAAUUC
rnacentral:rRNA from 1 species